CCCUACUCUUUCGACAGCCGCCGGCGCCGCCGCAUCAAGGAUUUCUAAUCUCCAUCCUGUAGUUCGAGUAUGGAUCCCAGACUGCUGGCUUGAACCUCGCCGGAGUCACCUGCCGCAUAUUCUGAAGACAAGGCCGGACUAGGUAUUAAAAUCAGCGACAUGCAUGGGAAGCGGGCAUAGAAACACACGUCACUUUAUCACCUCACCUGUUCCCAUAUAAUUUUUAGAGAGCACUUAUACAUAGCAUCCAUAAAUCAUUAAUUGUUUUGGUACUGUCUAAUUGAGUCUUUUGAAAUUAUUA